rnacentral:rRNA from 1 species
GACGAACGUUGGCGGCGUGCUUAAUACAUGCAAGUCAACUGAAGCAGUGGUAGCAAUAUCGCUGUGGAGGUGGCGCACGGGUGAGUAACACGUAGGUAAUCUGCCUUCAGGUCUGGCAUAACUCCGGGAAACCGGGGCUAAUAGCAGAUGAUGCAGCGGCUCGACAUCGAGACAGUUGUUAAAGCUAUGGCGCCUGAAGAUGAGCCUGCGUCUGAUUAGCUAGUUGGCGGGGUAACGGCCCACCAAGGCAACGAUCAGUAGCUGGUCUGAGAGGAUGAUCAGCCACACUGGAACUGAGACACGGUCCAGACUCCUACGGGAGGCAGCAGUAAGGAAUAUUGCUCAAUGGGAGAAAUACCGAAGCAGCAACGCCGCGUGAGGGACGAAGGGCUUUUGCUUGUAAACCUCUGUAGUGAGAGAAAAAAAUCCCAAUCUUUGGGACAUGAUGGUAUCUCAAAAGUAAGCCCCGGCUAACUACGUG